rnacentral:rRNA from 1 species
AUUGAACGCUGGCGGCAUGCUUUACACAUGCAAGUCGAACGGUAACAGGCCGCAAGGUGCUGACGAGUGGCGAACGGGUGCGUAAUGCAUCGGAACGUGCCCAGUCGUGGGGGCUAACUACUCGAAAGAGUAGCUAAUAACGCAUACGAUCUAUGGAUGAAAGCGGGGGCCCGUAAGCCCUCUCGCGAUUGGAGCGGCCGAUGUCAGAUUAGGUAGUUGGUGUGGUAAAGGCUCACCAAGCCAACGAUCUGUAGCUGGUCUGAGAGGACGACCAGCCACACUGGUACUGAGAAACGGGCCAGACUCCUACGGGAGGCAGCAGUGGGGAAUUUUGGACAAGGGGCGCAAGCCUGAUCCAGCAAUGCCGCGUGCAGGAAGAAGGCCUUCGGGUUGUAAAAAGCUUUUGUACGGAACGAAACGGCUCUGGUUAAUACCGGGGGCUAAGGACGGUACCGUAAGGAUAAGCACCGGCUAACUACGUG